CGUAGGUGCGAGCGUUGUCCGGAAUUAUUGGCGUAAGAGCUUGUAGGCGGUCUGUUGCGUCAGAAGUGAAACUCAGGGCUUAACCCUGAGCCUGCUUCUGAUACGGGCAGACUAGAGGAAGGUAGGGAGAACGGAAUUCCUGGUGGAGCGGUGGAAUGCGCAGAUAUCAGGAGGAACACCGGUGGCGAAGGCGGUUCUCUGGACCUUUCCUGACGCUGAGAAGCGAAAGCGUGGGAGCAAACAGGCUU
rnacentral:rRNA from 1 species